GAUGAACGCUGGCGGCGUGCCUAAUACAUGCAAGUCGAGCGAACGGACGAGAAUCGUGCCUCUCUGAUGUUAGCGGCGGACGGGUGAGUAACACGUGGAUAACCGACCUAUAAGACUGGGAUAACUUCGGGAAACCGGAUCUAAUAUCGGAUAAUAGUUUGAACCGCAUGGUUCAAAGGUGAAAGACGGUCUUGCUGUCACUUAUAGAUGGAUCCGCGCUGCAUUAGCUAGUUGGUAAGGUAACGGCUUACCAAGGCAACGAUGCAUAGCCGACCUGAGAGGGUGAUCGGCCACACUGGAACUGAGACACGGUCCAGACUCCUACGGGAGGCAGCAGUAGGGAAUCUUCCACAAUGGGCGAAAGCCUGACGGAGCCACGCCGCGUGAGUGAUGAAGGUCUUCGGAUCGUAAAGCUCUGUUAUUAGGGAAGAACAUAUGUGUAAGUAACUGUGCACAUCUUGACGGUACCUAAUCAGAAAGCCACGGCUAACUACGUG
rnacentral:rRNA from 1 species